rnacentral:rRNA from 1 species
CGAACCGUCCAAACGUUAUUCGGAAUCACUGGGCUUAAAGGGUACGUAGGCGGCGCUGUCAGUCGGGUGUGAAAUCCCACGGCUCAACCGUGGAAUUGCGCCCGAUACUGCAGCGCUUGAGGGAGACAGAGGUAAGCGGAACUGAUGGUGGAGCGGUGAAAUGCGUUGAUAUCAUCAGGAACACCGGUGGCGAAAGCGGCUUACUGGGUCUCUUCUGACGCUGAGGUACGAAAGCUAGGGUAGCGAAGGGGAUUAGAUACCCCCGUAGUCCUAGCUGUAAACGUUGAGCACUUGAUCGAGGAUCCCCCCAUAGGUUCUCGGUCGUAGCGAAAGUGUUAAGUGCUCCGCCUGGGGAGUAUGGUCGCAAGGCUG